AACGCAUAUUGCGCCUUCUGGUAUUCCGGAAGGCAUGCUUGUUUGAGUAUCAGUAACAACCUCAACUCCCUUCUUCAUUGCGGAGAAAGAGUUGGAUUUGAGCAUUUCCACAGGUUUUCCACAACUUGGAGGAUUGCUUGAAAUAUGAGGUUCGGCCGGCAGUUGCCUGGGCUACAAGCAUUUCAUACUUAAUCCCGUCAAACGGAUUAUAUCCUUUGCUGCAGCCAACAUACAGGGUAACUUGCCAGUGUUCCGACUGAUGCAGGAAAGUUGAGAAGCUCUUUGCCUUCUCUUCUAAACUCGAUCUCAAAUCAAGUAAGACUACCCGCUGAACUUAA
rnacentral:misc_RNA from 1 species